rnacentral:rRNA from 1 species
CUUUCCCUCUUUCUUUAGGCCUAACACAUGCAAGUCGAACGGCAGCACAGUAAGAGCUUGCUCUUACGGGUGGCGAGUGGCGGACGGGUGAGGAAUACAUCGGAAUCUACUUUUUCGUGGGGGAUAACGUAGGGAAACUUACGCUAAUACCGCAUACGACCUACGGGUGAAAGCAGGGGAUCUUCGGACCUUGCGCGAUUGAAUGAGCCGAUGUCGGAUUAGCUAGUUGGCGGGGUAAAGGCCCACCAAGGCGACGAUCCGUAGCUGGUCUGAGAGGAUGAUCAGCCACACUGGAACCGAGACACGGUCCAGACUCCUACGGGAGGCAGCAGUGGGGAAUAUUGGACAAUGGGCGCAAGCCUGAUCCAGCCAUACCGCGUGGGUGAAGAAGGCCUUCGGGUUGUAAAGCCCUUUUGUUGGGAAAGAAAAGCAGCAGGUUAAUACCCCGCUGUUCUGACGGUACCCAAAGAAUAAGCACCGGCUAACUUCGUG